AACGAACGCUGGCGGCAUGCCUAACACAUGCAAGUCGAACGAGACCUUCGGGUCUAGUGGCGCACGGGUGCGUAACGCGUGGAACCUGCCCUUAGGUUCGGAAUAACUCCCCGAAAGGGGUGCUAAUACCGGAUAAUGUCUUCGGACCAAAGAUUUAUCGCCUUUGGAUGGGCCCGCGUUGGAUUAGCUAGUUGGUAGGGUAAAAGCCUACCAAGGCGACGAUCCAUAGCUGGUCUGAGAGGAUGAUCAGCCACACUGGGACUGAGACACGGCCCAGACUCCUACGGGAGGCAGCAGUGGGGAAUAUUGGACAAUGGGCGAAAGCCUGAUCCAGCAAUGCCGCGUGAGUGAUGAAGGCCUUAGGGUUGUAAAGCUCUUUUACCCGGGAUGAUAAUGACAGUACCGGGAGAAUAAGCUCCGGCUAACUCCGU
rnacentral:rRNA from 1 species